ACGGAGGGUGCAAGCGUUGUUCGGAAUCAUUGGGCGUAAAGCGCGUGUAGGCGGUUUACUAAGUCUGGCGUGAAAGCCCGGGGCUUAACCCCGGAAGUGCGCUGGAUACUGGUUUACUAGAGGGCGGAAGGGGGAAGCGGAAUUCCUGGUGUAGGGGUGAAAUCCGUAGAUAUCAGGAGGAACAUCAGAGGCGAAGGCGGCUUCCUGGUCCGCAUCUGACGCUGAGACGCGAAAGCGUGGGGAGCAAACAGG
rnacentral:rRNA from 1 species